UGAGUACGAGCUGCUACGGCAGCGAAGUGGGUGAUGUCAAGCUUCCAAGAAAAGCCCUAUACCCGUUAAGGCAUGAUGGCCUGUACCCGAAACCGACACAGGUGGGGUGGUAGAGAAUACCGAGGGGCGCGAGGUAACUCUCUCUAAGGAACUCGGCAAAAUGGCCCCGUAACUUCGGGAGAAGGGGUGCCACCGCAAGGUGGUCGCAGUGAAGAGGCCCAGGCGACUGUUUACCAAAAACACAGGUCUCCGCUAAGUCGCAAGACGAUGUAUGGGGGCUGACGCCUGCCCAGUGCCGGAAGGUUAAGGAAGCUGGUCAGCGCAAGCGAAGCUAGCGACUGAAGCCCCGGUGAACGGCGGCCGUAACUAUAACGGUCCUAAGGUAGCGAAAUUCCUUGUCGGGUAAGUUCCGACCCGCACGAAAGGCGUAACGAUCUGGGCGCUGUCUCGGAGAGAGGCUCGGCGAAAUAGAAUUGUCUGUGAAGAUGCGGACUACGUGCACCCGGACAGAAAGACCCUAUGAAGCUUUACUGUAGCUUGGUAUUGUGCCCGGGCUCUGAAUGCGCAGGAUAGGUGGGAGGCUUUGAUCCAUUGCUUGCGGGUAAUGGUGAGCCAACGGUGAGAUACCACUCUUUCAGAGCUAGGGUUCUAACGGUCACCCGUCAUCCGGGGACCGGACAGUAUCAGGUGGGCAGUUUGACUGGGGCGGCCGCCUCCUAAAAGGUAACGGAGGCGCGCAAAGGUUCCCUCAGGCUGGUUGGAAAUCAGCCGACGAGUGUAAAGGCAGAAGGGAGCUUGACUGUGAGACCUACAAGUCGAACAGGGACGAAAGUCGGCCUUAGUGAUCCGACGGUUCUGAGUGGAAGGGCCGUCGCUCAACGGAUAAAAGUUACUCUAGGGAUAACAGGCUGAUCUCCCCCAAGAGUUCACAUCGACGGGGAGGUUUGGCACCUCGAUGUCGGCUCAUCGCAACCUGGGGCUGAAGUCGGUCCCAAGGGUUGGGCUGUUCGCCCAUUAAAGCGGUACGCGAGCUGGGUUCAGAACGUCGUGAGACAAUUCGGUCCAUAUCCGGUGCAUGCGCAGGAAUAUUGAGAGGAUUUCUCCCUAGUACGAGAGGACCGGGAGGAACGCACCUCUGGUGUGCCAGUUAUCGUGCCAACGGUAAACGCUGGGUAGCCAUGUGCGGAGAGGAUAACCGCUGAAAGCAUCUAAGUGGGAAGCCCACCUCAAGAUGAGUAUUCCCAUGGCGUUAGCCAGUAAGGUCACGGGAAGAACACCCGUUGAUAGGCUCUACGUGGAAGCCGGGCAACCGGUGAAGCGGAGGAGUACUAAUAGACCGAGGGCUUGAC
rnacentral:rRNA from 1 species